GAUGAACGCUGGCGGCGUGCUUAACACAUGCAAGUCGAACGGAAAGGCUCCUGCUUGCAGGGGUACUCGAGUGGCGAACGGGUGAGUAACACGUGGGUGAUCUGCCCUGCACUUCGGGAUAAGCCUGGGAAACUGGGUCUAAUACCGGAUAGGACCACAUUUUGGAUGGUGUGGUGGAAAGUUUUUCGGUGUGGGAUGAGCUCGCGGCCUAUCAGCUUGUUGGUGGGGUAAUGGCCUACCAAGGCGUCGACGGGUAGCCGGCCUGAGAGGGUGUACGGCCACAUUGGGACUGAGAUACGGCCCAGACUCCUACGGGAGGCAGCAGUGGGGAAUAUUGCACAAUGGGCGCAAGCCUGAUGCAGCGACGCCGCGUGGGGGAUGACGGCCUUCGGGUUGUAAACUCCUUUCGCUAGGGACGAAGCGCAAGUGACGGUACCUGGAGAAGAAGCACCGGCUAACUACGCG
rnacentral:rRNA from 1 species